UCGACCAACUCUUCAGGAUCAUAUGUGGAGUCUGUCGUACCUCGCUUUGUUUUCUAACAAAGUCGCACAUAUCACCGUAGGAUGAUGAGACGAAGGGCCUCUAUCCAACAAGAAGUGGGGAGCGUUUGAGAUGUGCCUUUUGGUCGUCUCCCUCCCGUUGAAGAUUUCUCCUCUGGGAUAUUCCAACCCGGUAGGAAGGAUGGUGGGCCCCGUCUGACUCGG
rnacentral:snoRNA from 1 species